AGCAGACCGAUCUCAUGAAGUGGCGUAUGUAUGACACGCCAAUUCGUACGCCAAUUCGUACGCCAUUUCUGGCGUGUUAUCAAGACGCAUACUCGUUUUUUAGCAUGUUUAUCAACGCUGUUUGGCCUCCAUUGACUUACAUUACCUUGCAAUUGCGUGUGAAUUGAUGCCGUAGUGAGUAGUAUGAAAGGGCGAAAAUCCACGUAGGGAGGUUGGUCAGGGAGGAGGAUGGGUAAAACACAGGACUUUCACCCAGGAGACCGGGGAUCAUGUCCCACAAGUCACAUAUGAAUAAUUUC